rnacentral:rRNA from 1 species
UACGAAGGAGGCUAGCGUUGCUCGGAAUCACUGGGCGUAAAGCGCACGUAGGCGGACAUUUAAGUCGGGGGUGAAAUCCCAGAGCUCAACUCUGGAACUGCCUUUGAUACUGGAUGUCUUGAGUGUGAGAGAGGUAUGUGGAACUCCGAGUGUAGAGGUAGAAAUUCGUAGAUAUUCGGAAGAACACCAGUGGCGAAGGCGACAUACUGGCUCAUUACUGACGCUGAGGCUCGAAAGCGUGGGGAGCAAACAGG